UUUCCUGCAGAAUGGGGUAGUUGUAUUUCACUCAUAAUCAGAAGCAUAUCAACCCAUGAAUUCUGUUCCAGAUGAAAAGAGUCUCUUUAGGACACACCGGCUUUGGGUUGUACGUCUGAAAUUUUAUCAGAGGCCUUGGGUUUGGUCAAUCAAACAUCAUACUGGCAGCUUUUACUUAGGGAGCACUCAGAACUGACGUCAAUAUCUGCCCUCGUGUUUAUUUGUAAUUAAAGUUAAGAUGCUUUAGAACAGCGUUACCAUGAAUCUAUAAACCUCGCGCCGUUUCCUGUGUUAUGAGCUCAAUCUGAUUCCAUCAAGUAAAUAUAUGGGAAGUUGAGAUUACAUAAUUUAACCUGGCAUUUGAGGAAAUAUUCAUAAAAUA